rnacentral:rRNA from 1 species
AUUGAACGCUGGCGGCAGGCUUAACACAUGCAAGUCGAGCGGAGACUUCGGUCUUAGCGGCGAACGGGUGAGUAAUACCUAGGAAUCUGCCUAUUAGUGGGGGAUAACGAAUCGAAAGGUUCGCUAAUACCGCAUACGUCCUACGGGAGAAAGGGGGGGAUCUUUGGACCUCUCGCUAAUAGAUGAGCCUAGGCCGGAUUAGCUAGUUGGUAGGGUAAAGGCCUACCAAGGCGACGAUCUGUAGCUGGUCUGAGAGGAUGGCCAGCCACACUGGAACUGAGACACGGUCCAGACUCCUACGGGAGGCAGCAGUGGGGAAUAUUGGACAAUGGGGGCAACCCUGAUCCAGCCAUGCCGCGUGUGUGAAGAAGGCCUCGGUUGUAAGACGACUUAAGUACGAGGAGGAA